UCCAUGCUGUAUGAAUCUAAUUGUUUGGUAAUUAAACCUAAGAAUUUGCACAAGGCCAAAAAUGAAAGAGUGCAGCUAUUACCAAGAGUUCUAAAGCUGGGGGAAAUUACAGAGGCAGAGAGAAGGGAAGCCAUGAAGGAUUUGAAAACAUGCUAAGAAUUGAAACCUUGCAAGACAAGGGGCCAAUGUUGGCCAACAAGCGAAGGACAAUAAAUGAAUGAGACUAGGUAUGAGUUAGGUCAAAAUCAGCCGAACUUUAGAGCAUCUCAAACUUACAUAGGUUGCGCGAUGCAAUGUCAGCAAGGAGACUAUUGGAACUCUUGUUGCAACAAUUGU